AGGCUGUGAGGUGAGCAGAGUCCAUAGCUGCUUUGCCUCUGCUCGUGCUGAGUAGCACACCUGCCGUGAGUGACUGACCAACUUGGCCAGGCACAGAGGGCAGGAGGGGAGGGGCCUCGGGGUGCAGGGGGUGACAGUGCUCAAAGGCUCCUGACUGUGGAGAGCUAAAGCUGCCAGGAGCUGCCUGUGCUUGCCAAGUGGUUGCAGAUGUUUCCUCCCUACUGCUCUGACUUUGCCAGGUGAGCACAUUCUCCUGUCUGAGCUGGUAUCUCUGUCUCUCUCUGUUUCUGUCCCUCUCCUGAGAGAGUCUAGCCUUGGGGUCCAGGCCUGGCCUGGCCAGGGUGGCCGUGGGAUCUUGGAGCAGCCACCACUCCCCUUUCUGAGCCCAGGUUCCUCCUCAGAUGCACAGUGGGUGGGUCGUUAGCGCCUGGAAGGCCUCUCCUCCAGGACCUGGUGUUUUCACAGACGAAACAGACUUCAGAGCUAAUGCGUGCUUUGGUAUCUUCCAGCCAGGAGACACUGCUCAAUGGCCCCAGGAGGGGCCCAGGAAGGAUUCAUUCCAGCCUUGCUGGGGGUGGGAUCAGGUUUCUGGUCCUACUCUAGCCAGGUGGCCAUGGGGGAACCCUGAAGCCAGACACAUAGAUUCUGGUCUCUCACACACUCUCUUGGUGACCUCAGCAAGUUUCUACCUCUCCCCAGACCUCAGUCUUCCCUUUUAUAAAAUGGUUAUAAUAGCACCAGUCCCCUCUCUGCAGAGACAGGAGCCCUGCUCCUCGUCCCGGAUCUGGCAUUGGCUCACCUUAGGCAAGUCUGUUCCCUUUUUGGGCCUGUCUCCCCAUGUAUAUGUUGAGGGGUUGGACUUCAGGGCCUGUGAGAGGCCUUCCAACUUAGACUUUCUCCCCAGGAGCAUAAAUUCAGUGAAUCUACGUGACUCUCAGUGAUGGCAUCAUUGCCUAAUAUCCACCCAGCUUCUGCUUGAAAACUUCCAGAGAACUCCCCACAUCUCCACGGCUUCCUUCUACCUUCAGGUAGCAGGAAGUUCUCCCUCACACUGUACCUUUCUUCCUACAUCACCCAACCGCUGGGGUCAGUUCUGCCGCCACAGAACUCCAAACAAUUCAAUAGACCUUAGGUACUGGGCACCCUGGCCAGGCCUCAUGCCAGACUCCAGGAUCAUGGAGGAACCAGUGUUGUCCAGCAAGGACUGGACAGGCAUAAAGUCCUGUAGCUCUGUCUGACUCCAGACUCAAUAAUAAUCCCAGCUGCCACCGAUAGCCCCUUCUGGGUGCCCAGCCCUGCUGCCUCAUCAAAUACCAGCAAUAUCUACCUCACUGAAUCCCCACAACAACCCUGCCAGAUAGUAACUCUCAUCCCCAUGUUAUAGCUGAGAAAACUGAGGCCCACAGCAAUUAGAUAUCUUCCCAAAGGUCACACAGUUGGUAUGCGUGGAGCCUGAUUAAAACCAAUGUGGCUACUAGCCUCUCACUGGGCUCUGCUGCCUCUUGUUUGUCUCUCUGUUCCUGGCGUGCCCAGGUUUGGGGGCAGCCUCCUUCCACAGCCUCCUCAGAGCCAGCCCCUGGCUGCUUGUGCAUUUCCUAAGGCGAGGAAGCCCGGGCAGGAGGGUCCCAGGGAGGAUGGAGAGGAGACGGUGGGCCUGAACCCAGGGCUCAUGACCUGUGCCCUCUGGAGGGAUUCCAGGUAUCACCAGCAGCCUGGGGAGGUACACCCUUGUGUGGGGAGGAGGAACUCUUCCCAGCACCCUCAAAUUAUCCCUUAAAAUUAGCCUUGGCUGCAGUUAGGCUGGCAGUGGGCGAGGCCCUGGUCUGGGAGCCCAGAGUCUAAGCUGUAGUUUCAGUUGACCCCCUGAUGGUCAGUGUGACCUUGACCUUGGAUGGGGCCCUUCCCUUUUGGGACUUCAGAUUCCCUAUUUGCAGACGUGAAGAGGGGACAAGAUCUCCCAGCAACAUGCAGUGGCUGGAGCUGAAUCAAACCCUGUGUUGGUCGGAUCUAGAAGGGCGAAUGUGGUCAGAAUGUUCUCCCUCACCCCUCCCAGGUCUCUUGGCUGCCCUGGCUGGGCCCACCCCACAUCUUCGCAGUGGCAUGUCCUUUCAUUUAGGAAAGGAGUUUCCUUAGACAGGCAGACAGUGAUGGGGUGGGAGGCUUGGAAAGGGAUGAGAUCAGUGUGGCCCAGCUCCCUGCUGGAGUGGUGAACAGAGAGUGUCCUUGGGUCACACAGAUCAUUAACCAGCUGUGUGACCUUGAGCAGAGCUCUUAACCUGCUUGAACUUCGGUUUCUGUAUCUGUAAAACAGUGAUAAUAAUAGUACCUACUUUUGAAGGUUAUUAAUAGUGAGGAUAAAAUAAGGAUUAAAGGGAAGUGUGUCUAAAACACUUGGCGCAGAGCCUGGUAUGUAGUCAGCACUCAGAAAGUGUGGCCUUGAUGACAACAAUGAUGAUGGUGAAGAUGGGAAUGAGUGGGGAAAGGAUGGCGACAACCGUUGCGUUGAACAGUAUGAGACGCUGCUCAGCCUUCUCCGACAUACUGGGUACUUCCAUGCUUCCAGGCUUCACACUUGCCAUUUCUUCUCCCUUGCCAUCCCCCAAGACUUCUUCCAGCACAAAUGCAUCCUAAGUAAUGGAGUAACCAGGCCCUGUGGAUCUGAGCCUGGAGGAGCCCGGGGGCAGAUUAGAACCCAAUGGCUGUGCUCUGCAUGAGGUGGGAGCACCAGACUUGGAGGAAUUAAUAGAAGGUUUCCCAGGGGAGGCAGAGCUUAGCUGGAGUCUUGAUGAAGGAGUAGGAAUUGGCUGGAAGAAGAGAAUAGGAUUUCUUUUUUUCCAUUUAAAGCAGUCCAGGCAGAUGAAAUAACACGUGCAAAAGCAUAGAGGUGUGAAAUAGCAUGUUGAGCUUGGGAAACUGCAAGAAGCACAAUAUGGUGCGAGUGGGGAGAGGGAGAGAGGAAGACGGAAUGGGGAGGAUGUUUGGGGUGGAUCACGAAGAGCCUGUGUGCUACACCAGAUACUCAAAAUGUGCCUUGAAGGUGAUGGGGAGUUAUUCUUUUCAUCAUGCGACAAACAUUCCUGAGGACCUACUUGACCCAAGACAUCUUUGUAGCGGGCACUGCGAUGUGCUGCCAAUGCCUGUGCCUCCUACCCCCACACCUCCGCUGCUGAGAGUGCUGAUGGCAGGCAGCUUGCAGGUGAGACUCCUCCCACCACCGUCAUUGCCUCCUCACCUAAUGCCAUGGUCCCUCCAGGGCCAGCCUGCAUCCAGAGACUGGUUCACAUGGGGGUAUAAAAGCCCAGGCCCCUUGCCCCAACUUGGGACAACUAUGAAGAGUUUCCAGCUCCACAGCUCCCUGAGGGGCUGGCCGAGGCCUUUGUGGGGUUUGCCUCACAACCCAAUUUAUCCCUCUGGCCAAUUCUGCUUCAAUCACUCCCUGCCAGGUGUUGACCUUGAAUGUACUCCCCCAAUAAACCUCCUGCAAGCAAACCUUCAUCUCAGAGUCUCCUUCCCCAGGAACCAAACCUCCAAUGAUCAUUACUGAGGGAUGUCAAUGGUGGCUGACGUUUCACUGAGGGCUCAAUGAGAGACCCCGCUUUUGGAAGGUGAUUCUGUCUACAGUGUGAGAAUGAUGUGGAAGGACACACUGGAGUCCAGAGGCCAGUGGGAAGGUAGUUGUGAUUUAGCAGAGAAAUGAUGAAGGCACCAGGUGGGUGGGGGCAGGAAGGAGGGACAGAGCUAGGGGACAUAGAGGAAACAGCACUGCCAGAUAGAGACUGGGUAAUGAAGGAGUCUGCCAGGCAGAGGUGGAGGCAGUCCCUGGGAUGAGUUUAACUGGAGAAACUCAGUUCAAUUUGGGAGUUGUGAGAGUGCCAUUUGCAUGAAGUAUGAAGGUGGAAGGGCCGGGAGGUGGGUGAAGAGCCUCCAGGAGAUAAAUUGGAGCUGGAAGUGUGGAUCUGGGGUUAGCCAGCACUUUGUAGUUUACAGAGCAUUUAUUGGCACCCAUUUAGUUCAGUAUGGGCAGCAACCAAUCAGAAGGGUUGCCAGGAUCUUGAGGACCUUCUGAGGGGCUAGAUAUUAACCCCUUGGUUGCUGAAUCAUGGUGGGAAGGUUGGGGGAUGCUGGGUUGCAUGGCAGAGGCACUCAAGGGGCUCUGAGUCAUGGCUGUUUACCAAGCAGUAAGUUAGAAUCUGCAUGCCAGCUGAGUAUCAGCCCUACAGGUUCCUCUUAGAAUCCUCACAAGAACCUGUUGAGGCAGAUACUAUAAUCCCUUUCCCAAAAGAGGAAACCAGGGCUCAGUGAAGUAAGUAACUUUCCAGAAACCAGGCAGCUCUUAAACAGCAGAACUGGAGUUGAACCCAGGUCCGUCUGAGCCUGCAUCCCAUGGCUUUAAAUGUUGGAGUGGGAAUCAAAAUGCAGAAUUCUUGGCUCAUUUAACCAGGGGCCUUUCCUCUCACUCAAUGGCCACUUCCUGUAGUGAAUUCCAGAACGUCUGAUCAUGAGCCAGUUUCUCCUUCCAAGAAACAGGGUUGAGAAUGACCAGCCUUGUGGGGUGUGGGUGGAGUCAGACAACCCUACUGGGGGUUUCCAGGCCUGGGGAAUCCGCCAGCUCCCAGUUUGGAGCCCAGGCACGUAUGGGAAGGUUCUGGGUAGCAGCGGCUUCUCCAGUGGAUUCCACCUCCCAUGUCAGAAGGAGAUCUUGGGCCAGCUAUGCCUGCCUCAGCCUGGGUCUGUCACCUCCAACCUUUAGGAAAAUGGGCUUCCUUUGAAGCAGUAAGCAUCUUGUUACCAAAGUAUUCCUGUGGACCUGGCUAUUCAUUCAUUUGUUCAUCCAUUCCUUUAACAUUGAACAACUAUUUAGAGAGUACCUCCCAUGCCCUGUGCCACCUGAGUCCCACCUUACCUGGGUCCAGCCUUACCUGGGUCCUGUUUCACCUGGUUCCAGCCUCACCUGGGUCCGGGCUGGUGGAGAAGUUGGGUGCUUAACAGGUAAUGCCAUCAAAGUGAAACAGACUGGGGAACCUACAGGGGCUGUUCCGUCAUCCCUGCAUUACUCCUGUGCCAGCACAGCGAUGCUGUCAGGGGCUAUCUGAUGAAUGGAUGAAGGAAGGAAGGGCUGAGAUUGGACAAAAGAAAGGGCUCCAUGACUGGCAUGAGAGAGAACCCUGAAGGGGGCAUCAGGGAUGGGGCGGCAUCUCCAUCCCUGGAGAGCACCAGCCUCUGCCCUGCAGGGUGUGACAGCUACUCCACCUGGAGGCAGAGGGCUGGACUCAGAGAUGCUGGGGCCUUCCUGGACCUGGAAUCUUCUGCUCCAUUAUGGCUCCAGGUGGCAUCUGGAUGCCAAAAAGAUACUCUGAUUGUUUGGUCGGCUGUGACUCAGAACAUGCAGAAUAACUUCCUUGUGGAACCUUGUUCAGGGAGUCUAGGAGAGUGUUAGCAGGGGGUGGAUGGGGAGGGAGAGGCCCAUCUGCAGUGCUCUGGUCUCCUGCUCCAGAACCCACCGGAAGUCUUGGGCAUGACCCGAAAGUGUGGCAGUGUCAGGUUUUUGAAAACACAACAUGUUUUCCUUUUCUUUUAACUUUUAAACUUCUCUGAGAAGAUUAUUUUACAAGCCAUUUUCUUACUCCUCUCCCAUCUCUCGGUCACAGUUUCAGCUUCAUGCCAACAGGGCUGUGGUAAUUAGGAAAGAGGACAAGUUCCCUCUGGCCACCCAUGGAAGAAGAAGUGACUGCAUGAGGAGGGGAUGGGGAGGGAGGAGGUGAAGCUUUCGUGAGCACCUUCUGCAGGGAGCCAGGCCUUAUGCAGAGUGCUUUGCAUAUCAUCUCCAUUUUUUUGCAUGAGGAGACUGAGAGAUAAAGUAAUAUGCACAUAGUUGGUAAUGAUUAUGCUAAUACGAAUAAAAUAGAUAAUUAUUAGGUGGAUCCAUUAUUCAAAAAACUGACAAUUCCUCAUGGUUUGACCUACUACAUGUCAUUCGGGCCUGCUACGUGCCUGCACAAUGCAAGAUGUUCUCUGUAAUUCUCACAAGAACUGUGCAAGGAAUGUGUUAUUUUGAUUUGAAAAGCUGAGGAAACUGAGGCUAAGACAGAUCAGGUGACUAUCCAGUUGCUCCUAGCAAGUCAGUAGUGGGACCGGUCCUUGAACUCAGGUCAGUUUCCAAAGCAGUGCAACAGCUGAAAAUCUAUGUGCUGAGUUUGCUAAUUUGACCAGCUCUUCUUAAGGUUAUAUUUGUCUUUGGGGGAUGGAAGCUGUCAUCAUGGAGAUGCAGGGCCCUGCUUGGGGUCAAGGUGGGAUUCAGGGACUUGGUCUUAUUAAUAUAAUUAUCUUAUGAUGAAGAAACAAAGCCCCAGUCACAUGGGGACAAGUCAUAGCCUGGAACUUCCAGGGCUCCUGAGGUGCAUGGGGAGGUAGGCAGAGCCAUUUAUCAAAAGAUCUGGUUUCAAUCCUGGUUCAGCUGUGAGCCCUGCCCACCCUGGGCCUCGCUUCCUCAGCUACACAGAGACCACUGUAACCUCCAGCUCUAAGGUUUGGUGAAUCUGGGCAGAGUCACAGCUGGGAACUCCUGUCCUCUACCCCCUGCCCUGUGCCACCUGAGUCCCACCUUACCUGGGUCCAGAGCUUUAGCCAAGCCCCAUGGGAAUGCCUCUGUGCUUCUAUUUUCCUUCAGAACCUUAAAGAUGCUUCCUUAUUUUCCUGCACUCAGUUACCACCCACUGCCCUUGGCCUGAUUUAAUGACUGCCCCAAAGCCUGUCUGAGCUUAUGACCUCCCGGUGCUCAGACUUGCUGUGAGGUUAAUGGUGCUGGUAGCACUGAUCUGAGGGGUCCAGGCAUAGUGGGGGCAGCUGAGAGCCCACAUGGAUAUGUGAGGGGAUGAGGGCCGCCUCUGCAAUGUGCUUUCCCCUCCUGACACCUCAGCAAGCCUGAGACACAGGACUGCUCCGUUCUCAAUUGGUGCCGCAUCUCAGCCCAGAUCCUCCAGCCUGGCAGGGAGAGGAGGAAAUUUGCCUCCUACUUCCAUCUCUGGUCAUUUUUGUUAGCUCAGUUGGUUAGUGGGCUUUCAAAAUGACUUAUUACAAGACUCUAUAUGUUUGUAUCUCAGUUUUUGUGAUAUGCAUGGACCUCUAAAUCUCAAAGCCCAGGCCCCUUAUGGGUCUGAGCAGGUGGAAAUGUGAGCCUUCCACAGAUGCCAGAGGGGAGACGCUGGUGCUCGAGCUACCAGUGGGAAUGAGGGGCAGCAGGGGAUGCCCUUAUAGACUGAAGGUGACCUAGGCCAAUGCCCUGGCCCUCUGUACCUCUCCCACCUCCAGAACAGAAAUACACUCCAAAUACGAGUGGGGAAAAGCCCUGAAUUGUCUGAGGGAACGCUGAACUGACCAGCAUCAUGCCCAUCAGCACCAGAGUUAAGCAUUAAGGUGACGCUUCUGCGUCCACAAGCUUGGUUGCUUGACGGAGCUCAGCCCUUGCUCCACACGGAGCCUUUGUCAGUUCUCUGCAGUGAGCACCUGCCAUUCUGCAGUGAUGGGCACACACAUCACAGCAAAGCCCCUUCUGGCUGGAAGCUUCACUCUUCUUUUGGAGUGGGGUCUAAAAACAGACCCCCGUUUGUUCAGGACCAUGAAAUUUCCCACAUAACAGAGCUCUAUAUCCUGCUCACCUGCUGCCCCUGCACCCCCAAACUCACUUGCUAGCAGAUUGAGUUGGGGCAUAUAUUAUUGGCUAUGAGUAUGUGUGACUGUGGCCUUGGCUGUGAGUGCAACUGUGAGCAGGGCUUUUGUGUGAGGACGUGUGCAUGUGUGUGCCCAUGCAAGGAAUUUCAUGAGAUUAAGUCAGAUAAGCUCGAAUGAAGACCCAGCAAGUGCUACAUGCCUAUCAGCCUCUGAGUCAGGGUGUGUGUUCAAAUGAGGAUCCCAACAGUUAGCCUGUUGGUAGGCCGGUUCAGUGGCUGUGAGCCAAAAGGCUCUCAGCCUUGUUUUUGUUUUUUGUCUUUUGGGUUUUUUUUCUUUUGCAGGGUUUGUUGGUGUCUUGGGGUAAGAGGCUCUUCAGGCUGAAAGGUGAGCGGAGGCUGUCAGAAGCUGGGGAGAUCUGGGUCACCCAAAGCAAACAUGAGCCCUUACUCAGAUCUCACAGCAAAGACCACCCCUGGAUCUGUCCAUGCAGAGGCCCAGGUCUCUGGUGAGAAAGGCAGAGGGGAGGAUCAAGCAUGGAAACUGGAGGGGGAAAGAACAGAACUCACAGGGGUAGACCAUUGGCUCUAAGACACCCGCGCUUGGGCCUUAAUGUACAGCUCAGUUAAUCUUCACCUUUGCCCUGAGAGGUUAAAUUAUUAUCCCCAUUUUACAGGGGAGAAAACAAGCUGGGAGAGGAGGAAUGACUUGCUCAUGGUUGUGCAGCUAGUAGAAAAUUCUACCCUCUUGUGGUGGCACCAUUGUUUCCUAAUACAAAACAGAGUCCUACUUCAAGGAAGUGGAGAGAAAAGGGGUAGAUUUGUAUUUUCCCAAAGGAUAGAGCAGGUGUCCACAUAAUGACUCCAAGAGUCUAAGAACCUGGGUGUUGGGGAAGCUGACUUGCUGGCAGAAGCACACAGGCUUUGGAGUCAGUGUCUGCAGCCUUCUGGUUGGGGUAAUCUUGAGCAAGUCAUUUUACUUCCCUGAGUCUCAGUUUUCUCAUCUAUAAAAUAGGGGUAAUGAUACGCUAUUCUAUCUUCAUCAGAUUGUAAUGAGAAUUACAUGAGAUGCUGUGUGGGAAGCAUUUAACACGAGGCCUGGCAGAAUACUCUGCUGUGGUUGUCAUCUCUAGGGUUAGGAUAUAGGUCUCUUUGGUAUGAGAGAGCCACACUCAGGGAGAGUAAAUGGCAAGGUGUCCCCAGGGAGGAAAAGACCUGGACAGUGACCAAAGUUGCCUUGUGUUGCAAACAGUCUGUGGGGAGUUCUUUGUUUUCAUUCUUAUCCCACAGAGCUACUCCAUUUCUACACUCUCUAAUCACCUUUAAGCUUCAGAUAAACAACAGAAGAGUAGAGAGAACUGCCUGGCCCUUUUAAUCUCCUUGAAUCUCCACCCCACUCUCCUCCACAAUGCACUGGCCAUGGGAGGCCUUUGUUAGUUGGAAUGGCAGAAUGGCUUCCACUGCAUCUGGGAGGAUGCUGGGGCCUCCAGGUGGGCUGACUUCAGUAGCACCAAUACCAUGCUUCCAGGGGCAGUGCUGAAUUCUUAAAGCUCAUCCCUCAUCUCUUCCCUACUUUGUCCUGUUGCAGUCUGGCACACACACCAACCCCAUUGACCAUGACUUCCUUAAGGUCCCCACAGCUCCCUUAUCAAGUCUGGUGGACACAUCCUGCUCAGUCUUGACUAACUGGCCCUCUUAGUGCCUCUGGUGCUCUAUGCCUGCCUCUGCCUCAGAUGCUCCCCUUGGCACCCAUGUGAUUUGCUUCCUUUCCUCUUGCCGGGUCUUCCCUCUUCUCUAGGCUGCACCUCCUCAGUUGCCUCUGAGGGCUCCUCUGUCUCCGUGGCAUCCUCAUUAUGGCUGUAUCCAUGGCCUGGCCCUGGUCCCUACCUUCCUCACUCCACACCCUCUCCACCUUCUUCAGCCCAGAGCCUUGCUGCCUAGCUCCCCAGCUCCCCAGCUCCAGACCCACUGCUCUCUAGCCUUAGGACAGCUCCACUGGGAUGUCCCUAUGCCCUUCACACUCAGCCUGUGCAGAGAGGGACGGCCGAGACCCAGGCCUGCUCCUGCCACCUCCUUGCUCAAAACCCUCCAUCUACAAACACUUGAGAAAAUGAUUUGGCGUCACAUAUUCAAGUUGAACAUGCGCAUGCUCUCCAACCCACCAAGUCUACUCCUGGGAAUAUACCCAACAGGCAUGUGUACCAAAGACGCAUGCAAGGAUAUUCAGAGCACUAUGCAUAAUAGCCAAGAACUGGAGACCACCCAGUGCCCAUCAACAGACAGUGGCGGAUUCACACAAUGGAGUGCUACAAGCUACGGAGAUAGCUGCAAUAUUGAGAAAUCUCACAGACGUCCUGUUGAACAACAGAACACGACACAGUUCAUACUGUACACUUGCAUUUAUAAAGUUCAAAAAACAGGCAAAACAAACCUGUGGUACCAGAAGACAGGACAGUGGUCAGCCUUGGGGGCACAUAGUAACUGGCAGGGACCCGCAGGGGCUUCUGGGUGCUAGACGCCUGACAGAUUUUGAUCUGGAUGUUGGUUCCAUGGGUAUAUUCCUUGUGAAAAUUUACCAAGAUGCAUACUUAUGAUAGGUGAAUUUUUCUGUAUAUGUAUUACGCUUCAAUAAAAGGCUAAAAUAAAGAAAUAAAUAAAAUCUUCCAUGAGUCUUGAUUGCAUUCAAGAUAAAACCUGCA
rnacentral:lncRNA from 1 species